GAAGGUGUGUCGUGAGGCAUGCUGGAGGUAUCAGAAGUGCGAAUGCUGACAUAAGUAACGAUAAAGCGGGUGAAAAGCCCGCUCGCCGGAAGACCAAGGGUUCCUGUCCAACGUUAAUCGGGGCAGGGUGAGUCGACCCCUAAGGCGAGGCCGAAAGGCGUAGUCGAUGGGAAACGGGUUAAUAUUCCCGUACUUGGUGUUACUGCGAAGGGGGGACGGAGAAGGCUAUGUUGGCCGGGCGACGGUUGUCCCGGUUUAAGCGUGUAGGUGUGUGUUCCAGGUAAAUCCGGUUCACUUUAACACUGAGGCGUGACGACGAGGCACUACGGUGCUGAAGCAACAAAUGCCCUGCUUCCAGGAAAAGCCUCUAAGCAUCAGGUAACAUCAAAUCGUACCCCAAACCGACACAGGUGGUCAGGUAGAGAAUACCAAGGCGCUUGAGAGAACUCGGGUGAAGGAACUAGGCAAAAUGGUGCCGUAACUUCGGGAGAAGGCACGCUGACACGUAGGUGAAGUGAUUUACUCAUGGAGCUGAAGUCAGUCGAAGAUACCAGCUGGCUGCAACUGUUUAUUAAAAACACAGCACUGUGCAAACACGAAAGUGGACGUAUACGGUGUGACGCCUGCCCGGUGCCGGAAGGUUAAUUGAUGGGGUCAGCGCAAGCGAAGCUCCUGAUCGAAGCCCCGGUAAACGGCGGCCGUAACUAUAACGGUCCUAAGGUAGCGAAAUUCCUUGUCGGGUAAGUUCCGACCUGCACGAAUGGCGUAAUGAUGGCCAGGCUGUCUCCACCCGAGACUCAGUGAAAUUGAACUCGCUGUGAAGAUGCAGUGUACCCGCGGCAAGACGGAAAGACCCCGUGAACCUUUACUAUAGCUUGACACUGAACAUUGAGCCUUGAUGUGUAGGAUAGGUGGGAGGCUUUGAAGUGUGGACGCCAGUCUGCAUGGAGCCGACCUUGAAAUACCACCCUUUAAUGUUUGAUGUUCUAACGUGGACCCGUUACCCGGGUUGCGGACAGUGUCUGGUGGGUAGUUUGACUGGGGCGGUCUCCUCCUAAAGAGUAACGGAGGAGCACGAAGGUUGGCUAAUCCUGGUCGGACAUCAGGAGGUUAGUGCAAUGGCAUAAGCCAGCUUGACUGCGAGCGUGACGGCGCGAGCAGGUGCGAAAGCAGGUCAUAGUGAUCCGGUGGUUCUGAAUGGAAGGGCCAUCGCUCAACGGAUAAAAGGUACUCCGGGGAUAACAGGCUGAUACCGCCCAAGAGUUCAUAUCGACGGCGGUGUUUGGCACCUCGAUGUCGGCUCAUCACAUCCUGGGGCUGAAGUAGGUCCCAAGGGUAUGGCUGUUCGCCAUUUAAAGUGGUACGCGAGCUGGGUUUAGAACGUCGUGAGACAGUUCGGUCCCUAUCUGCCGUGGGCGCUGGAGAACUGAGGGGGGCUGCUCCUAGUACGAGAGGACCGGAGUGGACGCAUCACUGGUGUUCGGGUUGUCAUGCCAAUGGCACUGCCCGGUAGCUAAAUGCGGAAGAGAUAAGUGCUGAAAGCAUCUAAGCACGAAACUUGCCCCGAGAUGAGUUCUCCCUGAGACUUAAAGUCUCCUGAAGGAACGUUGAAGACGACGACGUUGAUAGGCCGGGUGUGUAAGCGCAGCGAUGCGUUGAGCUAACCGGUACUAAUGAACCGUGAGGCUUAACCUUACAACGCCGAAG
rnacentral:rRNA from 2 species